rnacentral:rRNA from 1 species
UGUGUGUUAGUGGAAGCGUCUGGAAAGGCGCGCGAUACAGGGUGACAGCCCCGUACACAAAAAUGCACAUGCUGUGAGCUCGAUGAGUAGGGCGGGACACGUGGUAUCCUGUCUGAAUAUGGGGGGACCAUCCUCCAAGGCUAAAUACUCCUGACUGACCGAUAGUGAACCAGUACCGUGAGGGAAAGGCGAAAAGAACCCCGGCGAGGGGAGUGAAAAAGAACCUGAAACCGUGUACGUACAAGCAGUGGGAGCACAGAGCAAUCUGUGUGACUGCGUACCUUUUGUAUAAUGGGUCAGCGACUUAUAUUCUGUAGCAAGGUUAACCGAAUAGGGGAGCCGAAGGGAAACCGAGUCUUAACUGGGCGUUAAGUUGCAGGGUAUAGACCCGAAACCCGGUGAUCUAGCCAUGGGCAGGUUGAAGGUUGGGUAACACUAACUGGAGGACCGAACCGACUAAUGUUGAAAAAUUAGCGGAUGACUUGUGGCUGGGGGUGAAAGGCCAAUCAAACCGGGAGAUAGCUGGUUCUCCCCGAAAGCUAUUUAGGUAGCGCCUCGUGAAUUCAUCUCCGGGGGUAGAGCACUGUUUCGGCAAGGGGGUCAUCCCGACUUACCAACCCGAUGCAAACUGCGAAUACCGGAGAAUGUUAUCACGGGAGACACACGGCGGGUGCUAACGUCCGUCGUGAAGAGGGAAACAACCCAGACCGCCAGCUAAGGUCCCAAAGUCAUGGUUAAGUGGGAAACGAUGUGGGAAGGCCCAGACAGCCAGGAUGUUGGCUUAGAAGCAGCCAUCAUUUAAAGAAAGCGUAAUAGCUCACUGGUCGAGUCGGCCUGCGCGGAAGAUGUAACGGGGCUAAACCAUGCACCGAAGCUGCGGCAGCGACACUAUGUGUUGUUGGGUAGGGGAGCGUUCUGUAAGCCUGUGAAGGUGUGCUGUGAGGCAUGCUGGAGGUAUCAGAAGUGCGAAUGCUGACAUAAGUAACGAUAAAGCGGGUGAAAAGCCCGCUCGCCGGAAGACCAAGGGUUCCUGUCCAACGUUAAUCGGGGCAGGGUGAGUCGACCCCUAAGGCGAGGCCGAAAGGCGUAGUCGAUGGGAAACAGGUUAAUAUUCCUGUACUUGGUGUUACUGCGAAGGGGGGACGGAGAAGGCUAUGUUGGCCGGGCGACGGUUGUCCCGGUUUAAGCGUGUAGGCUGGUUUUCCAGGCAAAUCCGGAAAAUCAAGGCUGAGGCGUGAUGACGAGGCACUACGGUGCUGAAGCAACAAAUGCCCUGCUUCCAGGAAAAGCCUCUAAGCAUCAGGUAACAUCAAAUCGUACCCCAAACCGACACAGGUGGUCAGGUAGAGAAUACCAAGGCGCUUGAGAGAACUCGGGUGAAGGAACUAGGCAAAAUGGUGCCGUAACUUCGGGAGAAGGCACGCUGAUAUGUAGGUGAAGCGACUUGCUCGUGGAGCUGAAAUCAGUCGAAGAUACCAGCUGGCUGCAACUGUUUAUUAAAAACACAGCACUGUGCAAACACGAAAGUGGACGUAUACGGUGUGACGCCUGCCCGGUGC